rnacentral:rRNA from 1 species
UACGUAGGGUGCGAGCGUUGUCCGGAAUUAUUGGGCGUAAAGGGCUCGUAGGCGGUUUGUCGCGUCGGGAGUGAAAACCUCGGGCUUAACUCGGGGCUUGCUUUCGAUACGGGCAGACUAGAGGUAUGCAGGGGAGAACGGAAUUCCUGGUGUAGCGGUGAAAUGCGCAGAUAUCAGGAGGAACACCGGUGGCGAAGGCGGAUCUCUGGGCCGAUACUGACGCUGAGGAGCGAAAGCGUGGGGAGCGAACAGG